AACGGUUAAGUUAGAAAGGGCGCACGGUGGAUGCCUUGGCACUAGGAGCCGAUGAAGGACGGGACGAACACCGAUAUGCUUCGGGGAGCUGUAAGCAAGCUUUGAUCCGGAGAUUUCCGAAUGGGGAAACCCACCACUCGUAAUGGAGUGGUAUCCAUAUCUGAAUUCAUAGGAUAUGAGAAGGCAGACCCGGGGAACUGAAACAUCUAAGUACCCGGAGGAAGAGAAAGCAAAUGCGAUUCCCUGAGUAGCGGCGAGCGAAACGGGAUUAGCCCAAACCAAGAGGCUUGCCUCUUGGGGUUGUAGGACACUCUGUACGGAGUUACAAAGGAACGAGGUAGAUGAAGAGGUCUGGAAAGGCCCGCCAUAGGAGGUAACAGCCCUGUAGUCAAAACUUCGUUCUCUCCUGAGUGGAUCCUGAGUACGGCGGAACACGUGAAAUUCCGUCGGAAUCCGGGAGGACCAUCUCCCAAGGCUAAAUACUCCCUAGUGACCGAUAGUGAACCAGUACCGUGAGGGAAAGGUGAAAAGCACCCCGGAAGGGGAGUGAAAGAGAUCCUGAAACCGUGUGCCUACAAGUAGUCAGAGCCCGUUAACGGGUGAUGGCGUGCCUUUUGUAGAAUGAACCGGCGAGUUACGAUCCCGUGCAAGGUUAAGCAGAAGAUGCGGAGCCGCAGCGAAAGCGAGUCUGAAUAGGGCGCAUGAGUACGUGGUCGUAGACCCGAAACCAGGUGAUCUACCCAUGUCCAGGGUGAAGUUCAGGUAACACUGAAUGGAGGCCCGAACCCACGCACGUUGAAAAGUGCGGGGAUGAGGUGUGGGUAGGGGUGAAAUGCCAAUCGAACCUGGAGAUAGCUGGUUCUCUCCGAAAUAGCUUUAGGGCUAGCCUCAAGGUAAGAGUCUUGGAGGUAGAGCACUGAUUGGACUAGGGGCCCCUACCGGGUUACCGAAUUCAGUCAAACUCCGAAUGCCAAUGACUUAUCCUUGGGAGUCAGACUGCGAGUGAUAAGAUCCGUAGUCGAAAGGGAAACAGCCCAGACCGCCAGCUAAGGUCCCAAAGUAUACGUUAAGUGGAAAAGGAUGUGGAGUUGCUUAGACAACCAGGAUGUUGGCUUAGAAGCAGCCACCAUUUAAAGAGUGCGUAAUAGCUCACUGGUCGAGUGACUCUGCGCCGAAAAUGUACCGGGGCUAAACGUAUCACCGAAGCUGCGGACUGUUCUUCGAACAGUGGUAGGAGAGCGUUCUAAGGGCUGUGAAGCCAGACCGGAAGGACUGGUGGAGCGCUUAGAAGUGAGAAUGCCGGUAUGAGUAGCGAAAGAGGGGUGAGAAUCCCCUCCACCGAAUGCCUAAGGUUUCCUGAGGAAGGCUCGUCCGCUCAGGGUUAGUCGGGACCUAAGCCGAGGCCGAAAGGCGUAGGCGAUGGACAACAGGUUGAUAUUCCUGUACCACCUCCUCACCAUUUGAGCAAUGGGGGGACGCAGGAGGAUAGGGUAAGCGCGGUAUUGGAUAUCCGCGUCCAAGCAGUUAGGCUGGGAAAUAGGCAAAUCCGUUUCCCAUAAGGCUGAGCUGUGAUGGCGAGCGAAAUAUAGUAGCGAAGUUCCUGAUUCCACACUGCCAAGAAAAGCCUCUAGCGAGGUGAGAGGUGCCCGUACCGCAAACCGACACAGGUAGGCGAGGAGAGAAUCCUAAGGUGAUCGAGAGAACUCUCGUUAAGGAACUCGGCAAAAUGACCCCGUAACUUCGGGAGAAGGGGUGCUCUGUUAGGGUGCAAGCCCGAGAGAGCCGCAGUGAAUAGGCCCAGGCGACUGUUUAGCAAAAACACAGGUCUCUGCGAAGCCGUAAGGCGAAGUAUAGGGGCUGACGCCUGCCCGGUGCUGGAAGGUUAAGAGGAGCGCUUAGCGUAAGCGAAGGUGCGAAUUGAAGCCCCAGUAAACGGCGGCCGUAACUAUAACGGUCCUAAGGUAGCGAAAUUCCUUGUCGGGUAAGUUCCGACCCGCACGAAAGGCGCAACGAUCUGGGCACUGUCUCAACGAGAGACUCGGUGAAAUUAUAGUACCUGUGAAGAUGCAGGUUACCCGCGACAGGACGGAAAGACCCCGUGGAGCUUUACUGCAGCCUGAUAUUGAAUGUUGGUACAGCUUGUACAGGAUAGGUAGGAGCCUUGGAAACCGGAGCGCCAGCUUCGGUGGAGGCAUCGGUGGGAUACUACCCUGGCUGUAUUGACCUUCUAACCCGCCGCCCUUAUCGGGCGGGGAGACAGUGUCAGGUGGGCAGUUUGACUGGGGCGGUCGCCUCCUAAAAGGUAACGGAGGCGCCCAAAGGUUCCCUCAGAAUGGUUGGAAAUCAUUCGCAGAGUGUAAAGGCACAAGGGAGCUUGACUGCGAGACCUACAAGUCGAGCAG
rnacentral:rRNA from 1 species